GUACGCAACGGGCUGUGGCUCAGCCCUGCUUUCACACAGCAGAGGCCCCAGGUUCGAACCCUGGUGCGGGCAC
rnacentral:tRNA from 1 species